GACGAACGCUGGCGGCGUGCUUAACACAUGCAAGUCGAACGCUGAAGCACCAGCUUGCUGGUUUGGAUGAGUGGCGAACGGGUGAGUAAUACGUGAGUAACCUGCCCUUGACUCUGGGAUAAGCCCGGGAAACUGGGUCUAAUACUGGAUGCUACAUGUCACCGCAUGGUGGUGUGUGUAAAGGGUUUACUGGUCUUGGAUGGGCUCACGGCCUAUCAGCUUGUUGGUGAGGUAAUGGCUCACCAAGGCGACGACGGGUAGCCGGCCUGAGAGGGUGACCGGCCACACUGGGACUGAGACACGGCCCAGACUCCUACGGGAGGCAGCAGUGGGGAAGAUUGCAAAAUGGGAGAAAGCCUGAUGCAGCGACGCCGCGUGAGGGAUGACGGACUUCGGGUUGGAAACCUCUUUCAGCAGGGAAGAAGCCACAAGUGACGGUACCUGCAGAAGAAGCGCCGGCUAACUACGUG
rnacentral:rRNA from 1 species